UGUGACACAGACUCUCUACUUAGAGCGUUGCGGGGAGAGACUGAGGCUCACACUAUCAGAUUCUCAAUGAGGGGACGCAGCCAAGAGCAGACAGAGCGCUCAUUCCACCGGAGCCUUCCGCUGGGUGCGUGGAAGGAGGCGCAAAUGAGCCCACUGCCAUCACAACUGAGCCACUGAAGGAAGGACAGUAUCUUACACCAAUUUGGUUGAUACAGGCUGCUCAGCACUCCCAUCCUCUUAAAUCCCGUCCAGUUUUUUUUUUAUGACACAGACCCCGGGGUGUCCUGCGUUUGUUGGACUGGUUGUGUUUGGCCAAGGAUUUCCAAAGAAACCCCGACAAGCACGACUCAGAAGAGAGAUUGCAAGCCGGGAGAGAAUAGCGUCCAACUAACUCCCCCCUUUUUGUGCAGAAUUUGCCUCACCUGGAGGUGGAAUUUCAAGCAUAAAGCGCUGGCUUGAACAGAAUGGAUGGAAUUAAGGCAGAGGAGUGAGUAUGCUGGGCUGGCAGUGAUUCUGACUGAACUCCUUUCCCGUUGAACACACUGCUCAGACUUAGCCUUACCAUGUCCUGGUUGUUGGUCGUGUGGAUUAGCCUCGGAUUCCUGCUGUUGUGCCAGGCCACCCUCUACCAGACUAUCCAACAUCACCAUGUGGCACGGCCUGGACGCACUGACAUCCUCACCCUAGAGGGUGGAACAUGUGAGGUGAUUGCUGCCCACCGAUGCUGUAACAAGAAUCGUAUUGAGGAGCGUUCUCAGACUGUCAAGUGCUCCUGUCUACCUGGAAAAGUGGCUGGGACAACACGCAACAAACCUUCGUGUGUUGAUGCAUCAAUUGUAAUUGGGAAAUGGUGGUGUGAGAUGGAACCGUGUCUGGAGGGAGAAGAGUGCAAGACUCUGCCUGACAACUCUGGAUGGAUGUGCUCCUCUGGGAACAAGAUCAAGACCACAAGGAACACCCAGCCAUACUCUCCUUUUUAGCUUCCGGAAGCAAAAUGCAGAGGAUGCAUCAACAGAAAUUGAGCUGCAUUCUUGCUUCUGUAAAGAUUCAUCCCAGGACCUAACAGAGAGCUCCAAUUGCAAGGCUGAGCGCCAGGGUCUUCCCUUAUGAACCCUCUCUCUUCUCAUUGAAAUGACUAAUUCUAUUACUUUUACAACUACUGGCUGGCUUACCUGGGACCACGCAGAGGAUAUCCACCAAGAUAAAACAGCUUUGCUCAUGUGGCACCAAGGAUUUGAAUAAACUAAUCUCCCUGUUACAUGCUGGUGGCUCUCCUCUUCAACACAGCUGGGGCCAGCUUCUGACCAUGCUCUUUGUUUCCCUUGCUCUGUCUUCUAUUCAAAAACAGAAGAAAAAAGACUGUGGUUAUUUAAAAGCUGUUUAAAGAUUUGAAGACAAUCUCCUCAGUGUGGCCAUAUGUGAACUGUGUGAGGAGCUUACAUUGAACUGGACGUGGGAUUGAAAAAACAUCAAGGGGCACAGCAGAGUGAAGUUACUCUCAAAUCCCAGAAGGACUUGUUUGUUACUUGCAACUGGUGAUGGAUUGUUUGCAGUGAAAACAGGGAGGACAUUUAGCUGAAAAACACAGAACUUUCAAUAACUGUGACUACUCGCAGCCCAUAAUAAGAUGAUAAAGACUUUGUGGAAGGCUCAUGGCCUCACCCUUAUCCUCCACAAGGUACACCUUGAGUUUUAUAGUGGGCAUGCCCAAUGUAAAUUCAUGAGCACUACUUUUCUUUUUAUGUAAGAUCACUUAUGUAUAUAUAAACGCAUAUAUAAAUGCAUUACAUACACUGCUAAAUGACAGAUCCAAGGGGCUGAAAAAAUAUACUGUAUUAUGAGAUCAUGGUGGAAUAUCAGAGCCUAGUGUGUAGAGGACUGAUCUACAGGGGAUGCUUGCAUACAAGAAAGCUACAAGUGAAUAACUAAAACAAGUUCUGCUUGCUUUUUAUUCUGCAAUUUUGUAGGUUGAAUGACAUAUUCGGAAUUUCUGUAAAGAUUAAAAAAAACAAUGUAUAGAAGGACCUCAUGUAUGAAGGCAGCUCCAACAACAAUCCUUGACCUUUCUACUCAGACACUGUAGAGAUUUACAGUGACUGUAGAAGAAGUGUAACCAUGACCAUGGGAAGAGAUCAUCCGCUAAAGUUUGUCAUGUAGAUUAUUUUUCUCACACACCAGAGAGAGGUGACUUAUUCAAAAUGACACUGAGGAAGUAUUAGUCACAAUGGAGAAAUAUAGUUAUCCCCAAGUAGAUAUGAUUACAUUACAGGACAGCCUUAUGAGAAAUAAUAA